GUGGGAUUUUGUUCCCACCUUCAACAUUCCAACAUUUCAAAUAAAAUGUUUUAGUAUGGUACAAAUUGACAUAUACAAAAAUGGGUGUAAUAACUGAAAAGAUAAUGUCUUUAAAGCAAGAAAUGGCCAUCUUUAUAUUCACUUUUACAAGCAGUCCCAAGCAACUAUGCUCAAGCUUAAUCCAGAAUAAUUAAACCUCAUUAAGAGCUUGUUCAACCAAUAACUCAGCUUGGAUUGUUUCAUUCACAACGCCGCCG
rnacentral:misc_RNA from 1 species